rnacentral:rRNA from 1 species
UACGGAGGAUCCAAGCGUUAUCCGGAUUUAUUGGGUUUAAAGGGUGCGUAGGCGGCCUAUUAAGUCAGGGGUGAAAGACGGUAGCUUAACUAUCGCAGUGCCUUUGAUACUGCAGGGCUUGAAUGUACUUGAGGUAGGCGGAAUGUGACAAGUAGCGGUGAAAUGCAUAGAUAUGUCACAGAACACCAAUUGCGAAGGCAGCUUACUAAAGUAUGAUUGACGCUGAGGCACGAAAGCGUGGGGAUCAAACAGG